GGUGAAACCUGCGGAGGGGAUCAUUACCGACGCCUAUGCCAACUCGACUCCAACCCCCUGUGAAUUAUACCUUUAAUUGUUGCUUCGGCGGGACUUUCGCGCCCGCCGGGGAACCCCAAACCUUCUGAAUUUUUUAAUAAGUAUCUUCUGAGUGGUUAAAAAAAAUGAAUCAAAACUUUCAACAACGGAUCUCUUGGUUCUGGCAUCGAUGAAGAACGCAGCGAAAUGCGAUAAGUAAUGUGAAUUGCAGAAUUCAGUGAAUCAUCGAAUCUUUGAACGCACAUUGCGCCCGUCAGUAUUCUGGCGGGCAUGCCUGUUCGAGCGUCAUUACGCCCCUCAAGUCCCCUGUGGGACUUGGUGUUGGGGAUCGGCGAGGCUGGUUUUCCAGCACAGCCGUCCCUUAAAUUAAUUGGCGGUCUCGCCGUGGCCCCUCCUCUGCGCAGUAGUAAAGCACUCCGCAACAGGAGCCCGGCGCGGUCCACUGCCGUAAAACCCCCCAAACUUUUUUAUUAGUUGACCUCCGAAUCAGGUAGGACUACCCGUCUCAACUUAACCAUAUUUCAAUCAAGCGGAGGAAA
rnacentral:rRNA from 1 species